GAUGAAGAACGUAGUGAAAUGCGAUACUUGGUGUGAAUUGCAGAAUCCCGUGAACCAUCGAGUCUUUGAACGCAAGUUGCGCCCGAAGCCAUCAGGUUGAGGGCACGUCUGCCUGGGCGUCACAUAUCGUUGCCCAAUGCCUAUUGCAGUGCAAUAGGAAUUUCUAGGGCGAAUGAUGGCUUCCCGUGAGCGUUGUUGCCUCGCGGUUGGUUGAAAAUCGAGUCCUUGGUAGGGUGUGCCAUGGUAGAUGGUGGUCGAGUUAGAACGAUACCGAUCAUGUGCAUGCUCCCCAAAAUAUGGCCUCUAUGACCCACACGCGUCUUUUGACGCUCAUGACGAGACCUCAGGUCAGGCGGGGCUACCCGCUGAAUUUAAGCAUAUCAAUAAGCGGGGA
rnacentral:misc_RNA from 1 species